rnacentral:rRNA from 1 species
GGUUAACGCUGGCGGCGUGCCUAACGCAUGCAAGUCGAGCGAGGGCUCAUUUCCCGCAAGGGAGGUGGGUUCCUAGCGGCGAACGGGUGAGUAACACGUGGGCAACCUUUCCCAUCGUGGGGAGUAACACCGGAACCGGUACGCUAAUGCCGCCAUGAGGUCGACUGGGGGCGAUCCCUCGGUGAAGAAAGACAGUAAUGCGCGAUGGGGUGGGCCCGCGGCCUAUCAGCUAGUCGGUGGGGUGANGGCCUACCGAGGCAUUGACGGGUAGCUGGUCUGAGAGGACGGCCAGCCACACGGGGACUGAGACACGGCCCCG